rnacentral:lncRNA from 1 species
GGAAUAAUGAGCCAGAGUUUGUGAAGGUGCUUUGAAGUAGCUGGAUGAAAGGGACUGUGUAAAUCAUAACAGUAGUAGCCCUGCCAGACUGCUCUCACCACACUUGUCUCUUACACUCCAAUACAGGGGCACCGCCACCCAUUCCCAUGCACCCCCACCACUGCUCAGCAAUUUUGCAUGUUGCUUCCAAAGGGGUUGCUCACCCCUGUAUCCAAACAUCACCACCACAGAUAUUCAGUGUCCUGCCCCACACUGCCAGCACUCCCCACCGAGCACACAGCUGGAAGGAAACUUCAAGAUAAUUUGGUCCAACAUCCCAUUUUUUGAAGGUCAGGAAACUAACAUCCAGAAAGGUUAAAUGAGUUUGCCUGGAAUUUCUUUUAAGGAGAUGCAUUUCCUAAGGGUCAUCAUAUUUCUAAAUCAGUAAGAGUGCUAAGUAAUAUGUUUUGUUAAAUCUGCAUGUUUUUAAAGAAACGAAUACAAGAGAAUAAUAACGUUUCCUUUUGGAAGGGAAGAUCUGCCUGCAUGGCCAGUAACCCAGAGCCCAAGCCAGAUAAAAAUAAUGAUUAACGAACGGAUAAACAGGCUCAUAUGCUUCAUACGUGAUAAAUUAAGGGUCUCAUACUGGCCAGAGAAUCAUGUUAUCUAAGUAAUUUUGAGAAGACAGCCCAUGACCUUAAUAAUUUGCCACUUGUUAUGGCAAAGUUAUUUUGAAAGUUUUCUAGGUAACUGAAGGUCCAGUGUAUGUGCCAGGCAUUUAGUAUAAUCUUAUCUUUCCCCAAAUGUGGACAAAAGUGGUUUUUUUCAGUCACAUAUACCACCGCAUUGAGAACUGGACAUUUGAUAAUCAUCAGCGAUUUUCCCUCCAGGGCCUCCUCAGAUGGCUUUUCUUGAUUACAAACUAUUUUGGAAACUCCAAAUUCUUUCCACUGAUUUAGCAACGAAUCCUCAACUUAUUUUUAAACUGCUGUAAUUGAGCAGCUCUGGGGGUUAACUUGUGGAGUCUGGUCACUUUUAGAUCAAAUUAUCAACCAAACACUCUGCUCUUACCAUCUUGGGACCAUCUUCUAUUUCUUUUGCUGAGAAUAGGUUAACCAAGGGACCUUGAAAUCAUUCAAAGCCACAAUACAAAAACAUCACUUUGGCUUCUCCCAAGUUUAUCCUACUCUUCAUCUGGUGCAAGGAAACGAACAGAAAAACCGGACCCUGUUAAUUAUUCCCAAGAUGACAUCAAUGUGCUCUUCCAUGGCCUUCUACAGCUUGGAGCUGAGCUCAAGGAGCAAGGAGUUAUAGCAGAAAGCACACUGGCCACCUGUUUAAGCGACUGGACCCUUUGAACACCUCUUUAGCUGAGCUUCUAGGUCAGCCAGCAGGAGAGAAGGAAAGAGGGCUUUGAGAGGAGAGAGGAGCAGCUCGACAAGAGGAGUGAAGGCCCCUAUCAGCUGGCUGCUGAGCUCCAGUGUCAACUGGUUGCAGGGAUGACCUACAGGGAGGGAUUUAAUGAGGAGCUGAAGUUGCUGGAGCAAAGUUGGAAGAUGCUGCACCCUUUAAGGCAAGUGGGCUUCCAGUGACAAAGGUGAUGGAUGAUGUCAUGACAGAGCCAAAAAAUUGAUGAAGUGGAAAUGCAGCAAAGCCAACUGCAUGAACAAAGAUGCUGUCAUUCAAAAACUACAGGAAAAGGUUGGCGCUUUUUACUCUCUAUAGCAAUUUGUUGUAAAUAGACUGAUCCCAUCAGAGUGAACUUCAAAUGCCUACUAAUGUCAGUAACAUCUUCUGAUUAUCUGGUGUCUUUUAUUCAAGGAUUCAGAAGGAAAUUGCAAAUACAUUAUUUUAAGGUACUUAUGCAAGGAAAACAGCUGAGGAGAUGAUUUUAUCAUUCAUAUUUCACUACCAGCAAAAUCUAUUUUAAAUGUAACAAUAAAAAAUAGCUAACAUUAUUUCAUUCUUACUCUAUGCAGGCACUGUUACAAGCAUCUAUGACAGGUACUACUAUUAGCCUCAUUCAGAAGAUGAUAAAACUGAGGUGUGAAGAGAAUGCAUUAACUUGUACCAGGUUAGAUAAAAGUGCAAAUUCACAAAGGAACCAGUGAAAAAGGAAAACAGAAGGAAAACUCCUGAUGUGUAGGUUGAAGAGAACAUUCUGUCUUCAGAAAUCAGAGCAAGAAAAAUGGAAGGUAAAACAUGUUCCAGGGCACCAGUCAGAGCCCCACAAGGCUGUCUGCCCUGGGAAAUGGCGCAAGAUUAGAAGGAGGCACUGGGGGUGUUAUCGCAAGCAGCAGCUUGCCCCUUAGUAACCCCUGUCCUCCACAGGCCAGGCUGCAAUAUUUCACAUAAACGCUGGUACUGUACUCUGAACAUCAGGGACCUCUACACCCCUCACAAACAGCAAAUGCAGUUAAGACGCCAGAAAAAAAAAAUGGUAUCAAAUUGUUUAAAAACUCUACAAUAAAUGGUCCAAUAUUCUUUCUCUAUGAUUUUGUAAUGUUAAAAAAAUCCACUGAAAGUCAGAAAUCAAAUGACAGAAAGAGAGAAAGAGAAAGAGAGAGAGAGAGAAAUAAAACAAUAGCCAGUCUUAAUGUCUCUUAUGGUACCACUUUUAAAGAUUUCUUUCAGUGAGAAAACAAUCCAUGCUUUUUCAACUGAUGAUCUGCAAUUUGAAUAUGAGAUAUGGUGAUUUUAUACAGCACAACUCUUAUUACUACUAAUUGAUCUUUGAACAUGAAUUGAUUAAAUAUAGCUGCUAUGAUAUUUGUAGAAUACCUUUUCUAUUACAUUAAUCUCCAUCCCAUUCUUUUCUAUGAGAUAAGUAAAAGUUCCUUUUGAGUGAGAGAUUGGAAAACCAGCAUUCCUUCUGCUAAAUAAAGCAGACCCUCAAGAAUGCUAUCUUUUAGAAAUGGGUGAAAGGAGCCAUCCUUAAAACCCACUUCACUUGUUUAAGUCCAACUAGUUUUCAAUAGCAAAGACCCAAAGGGAAAGCUAGAGUGUUUAUGGUCUUAGGUCUUAUCCAGAUCAGAUUCCCAUAGAAAAGAAUCACAAAUAUCCAAGCAUUCGAAAUCUGCUGGGGAAACCUAACUGCUUUAAGAAAAAAAAAAAUUCUCUCCCCGAUCCUGAUUGAAAAUGAUUUCUAAACCAUACUUUGUUGAACCAACUGAAAUUUUUUUCAAGUAAGAUGCCCAUGUUAGCAGAUUUCCUUCUGAAACACUGCUUGGUAGAUUUAAUAUAUUAAGAGGUUUAUAUAUAAUUCACUCUCACCUUAGUAUGAAUUGGUUUACUCACCCUCCCUCCUUACAAAAAGCUUGGAUUUAUGGACUGAAGGUGUGCAUGAAGAAAAGGAAUAAAAAGAGGAUAGG